GGCAGCAGGCGCGAAACCUUUACACUGCACGCCAGUGCGAUAGGGGGACACCGAGUGCGAGGGCAUAGAGCCCUCGCUUUUCUGGACCGUAAGGUGGUCCACGAAUAAGGGCUGGGCAAGACCGGUGCCAGCCGCCGCGGUAAUACCGGCAGCCCGAGUGAUGGCCGAUAUUAUUGGGCCUAAAGCGUCCGUAGCUGGCCGAGCAAGUUCGUCGGGAAAUCCACGCGCCCAACGUGUGGGCGUCCGGCGAAAACUGUUCGGCUUGGGACCGGAAGAUCCGAGGGGUACGUCCGGGGUAGGAGUGAAAUCCCGUAAUCCUGGACGGACCACCGAUGGCGAAAGCACCUCGGAAGGACGGAUCCGACAGUGAGGGACGAAAGCUAGGGUCUCGAACCGGAUUAGAUACCCGGGUAGUCCUAGCCGUAAACGAUGCUCGCUAGGUGUGGCACAGGCUACGAGCCUGUGCUGUGCCGCAGGGAAGCCG
rnacentral:rRNA from 1 species